rnacentral:rRNA from 1 species
UACAGAGGUCUCGAGCGUUAGGCGGAAUCACUGGGCUUAAAGCGUGUGUAGGCGGGUCGUUAAGUGCCUUGUGAAAUCCCAUGGCUCAACCAUGGAACUGCUGGGCAUACUGGCGAUCUUGUGCAACCUAGGGGCGAGCGGAACAGAUGGUGGAGCGGUGAAAUGCGUAGAUAUCAUCUGGAACGCCAAUGGUGAAAACAGGUUGCUGGGAGUGCGCUGACGCUGAGACACGAAAGCCAGGGGAGCAAACGGG